rnacentral:rRNA from 1 species
CCCAGGUCAGGCGGGGCUACCCGCUGAAUUUAAGCAUAUCAAAAGCCCGGAGGAA